rnacentral:misc_RNA from 1 species
UUUUUAUUUUUAUACUUUAAACUUUGAUUUUAUUUUUAUGUUUUUUAAAUAUUGGUGUUUUUGAAUGUGUUGUUUAAAUAACAUAAAAAAUAAAAUAUAUAUUGACAUGUAUUAAACAAAGAUAUAUAUUAUUUUAUGUUGUAUAAAUAAAUUGGCAAAAUAGAGAUGGAAGAUAAAAAU